rnacentral:rRNA from 1 species
CAGCAGCCGCGGUAAUACGAAGGGUGCAAGCGUUAAUCGGAAUUACUGGGCGUAAAGCGUGCGUAGGCGGUUUGUUAAGUCUGCUGUGAAAUCCCCGGGCUCAACCUGGGAAUGGCAGUGGAUACUGGCAAGCUAGAGUGUGUCAGAGGAUGGUGGAAUUCCCGGUGUAGCGGUGAAAUGCGUAGAGAUCGGGAGGAACAUCAGUGGCGAAGGCGGCCAUCUGGGACAACACUGACGCUGAAGCACGAAAGCGUGGGGAGCAAACAGGAUUAGAUACCCGCGUAGUCCCUGUCUCUUAUAC